rnacentral:rRNA from 1 species
UACGUAGGGGGCAAGCGUUGUCCGGAUUUAUUGGGCGUAAAGAGCGUGUAGGCGGCUAGGUAGGUCCGUUGUGAAAACUCGAGGCUCAACCUCGAGACGCCGGUUGAAACCAUCAGGCUAGAGUCCGGAAGAGGAGAGUGGAAUUCCCGGUGUAGCGGUGAAAUGCGCAGAUAUCGGGAAGAACACCCGUGGCUAAGGCGGCUCUCUAGUACGGUACUGACGCUGAGACGCGAAAGCGUGGGGAGCGAACAGG